GCCCCGCUGGUGCAAUUGGUUAGCACGCGCACCCGGAAAGGGUGAAAUAUGGGUUCGAUUCCUGCCUGAGGUU